UACAGAGGGUGCGAGCGUUAAUCGGAAUCACUGGGCGUAAAGCGUGCGUAGGCGGCUUAGCAAGUCGGGCGUGAAAUCCCCGGGCUCAACCUGGGAAUGGCACUCGAUACUACUAAGCUAGAGUGUGGUAGAGGGAAGUGGAAUUCCCGGUGUAGCGGUGAAAUGCGUAGAUAUCGGGAGGAACAUCAGUGGCGAAGGCGACUUCCUGGACCAACACUGACGCUGAGGCACGAAAGCGUGGGGAGCAAACAGG
rnacentral:rRNA from 1 species